GUAGGUGAACCUGCGGAAGGAUCAUUAACACGUAUCCAACGUUCGGCAACCCUGUGAACUUUCAGACGCUCUUGUAGCCAGGCGGAACAGCAAUCCCGGUAAAUCAACGACGCCGGAAAGAGUUUUGAUUCGGGACCUCUGUCCAAAAGGUUACAAUAGAAGCUAGGAGCAGUGAUAGUUUCCUGAAGCAUUGCCGAAGGAUGCACUGAGUGCGGAUAACGCAUCACGGUUGCUAGAGGUCGAUCACCGGCCGGCAGACAUGUCACAGGGCUAUAUGCCCCUUAAUCACCCCUUGUCUAAUCGCGCCCUGCGGAAACGCCGGGCACUAAAAACCGAACAACUGUUAGCAAUGGAUAUCUUGGUUCUC
rnacentral:misc_RNA from 1 species